CAAUAGCGUAUAUUAAAGUUGUUGCAGUUAAAGAGCUCGUAGUUGGAUUUCGGGGUGGCCUGGCUGGUCCGCCGCAAGGUGAGUACUGGUCAGCCGCCCUUCCUCUCGAAAGCCCCGACUGCUCUUUACUGCAGUGGUCGGGUAGUUCGGGACGUUUACUUUGAAAAAAUUAGAGUGUUCAAGGCAGGCUAUCGCCUGAAUACAUUAGCAUGGAAUAAUGGAAGAGGACCUCGGUCCUAUUUUGUUGGUUUCUAGGGCCGAAGUAAUGAUUAAGAGGGACAGUUGGGGGCAUUCGUAUUUAAUUGUCAGAGGUGAAAUUCUUGGAUUUAUGAAAGACGAACUAGUGCGAAAGCAUUUGCCAAGGAUGUUUUCAUUAA
rnacentral:rRNA from 1 species